rnacentral:rRNA from 1 species
UGGGGAAUAUUGCACAAUGGGCGCAAGCCUGAUGCAGCCAUGCCGCGUGUAUGAAGAAGGCCUUCGGGUUGUAAAGUACUUUCAGCGGGGAGGAAGGCGAUAAGGUUAAUAACCUUGUCGAUUGACGUUACCCGCAGAAGAAGCACCGGCUAACUCCGUGCCAGCAGCCGCGGUAAUACGGAGGGUGCAAGCGUUAAUCGGAAUUACUGGGCGUAAAGCGCACGCAGGCGGUUUGUCAAGUCGGAUGUGAAAUCCCCGGGCUCAACCUGGGAACUGCAUUCGAAACUGGCAGGCUUGAGUCUUGUAGAGGGGGGUAGAAUUCCAGGUGUAGCGGUGAAAUGCGUAGAGAUCUGGAGGAAUACCGGUGGCGAAGGCGGCCCCCUGGACAAAGACUGACGCUCAGGUGCGAAAGCGUGGGGAGCAAACA